AACCCAUGGUGAGAGCAUCUUCUCAAUAGAUCCUUGUAUCUCUCUCAUGCAUCAUAUAAUAUUUCUAAAUCCAUUUGCACAAAAGACGACAUAUCAUUCCUCAAUUU
rfam:Gossypium arboreum cultivar AKA8401 contig_69720_1, whole genome shotgun sequence.